rnacentral:misc_RNA from 1 species
GUCACAAACCUUUCAAUGGAUGUCUCUGCCGGCAGCCCUGUAGGCGAGUUCCAGGCGGCAUGCAUAACGCACAGCUCUUGAACAUUGGAGCAGAAGCCGACUGUGAUCUUGUUGAGAUCACCCCUGAGGACCGAUCCGCUCCAAACUGACGCUCCAUCGCAGACCGUAACCUGACCCGCUAGGACGACAUUGGGUGCGACAUAGGCCUCGACGGCGACCUUGGGAAUCCACUGACCCAACGGGAUUAUCUGCCUUUGACCUCGAUAGUCCCACUUGACUCGAUC